GUAAUACUUUCCCCUACCAUUUGAUGAUAUUUUUUGCUGGUCCAGAUGAGUGAGUCACCAUCUCAAGAGGAACCCAAACCUGCUCAGGAAAAUGGAGAAGAAAACAAAGAAAGGAAACAGGAAGCAACUAACAGGAAUGAGCCUAUUGAGAGUUCACAGAGUUCAGCACCGAGUUCUGCAUUAGAUUUCAACAAAGAUGGGGAAGAAGAAACAACAGAUGAAAUCAA